GACGAACGCUGGCGGCGUGCUUAACACAUGCAAGUCGAACGGAAAGGCCCUGCUUUUGUGGGGUGCUCGAGUGGCGAACGGGUGAGUAACACGUGAGUAACCUGCCCUUAUCUUUGGGAUAACUUCAGGAAACUGGGGCUAAUACCGGAUAGGAGCUCCUGCUGCGUGGUGGGGGUUGGAAAGUUUCGGCGGUUGGGGAUGGAUUCGCGGCUUAUCCGCUUGUUGGUGGGGUAGUUACUUACCAAGGCUUUGACGGGUAGCCGGCCUGGGAGGGUGACCGGCCACAUUGGGACUGAGAGGCGGCCGAGACUCCUACGGGAGGCAGCAGUGGGAAAUAUUGCACAAUGGGCGGAAGCCUGAUGCAGAAACGCCGCGUGCGGGAUGACGGCCUUCUGGGUGUAAACCGCUUUCGCAUGUAACGAAGCGUGAGUGACGGUAAUGGGUAAAGAAGCACCGGCUAACUGCGUG
rnacentral:rRNA from 1 species